rnacentral:tRNA from 4 species
GCGAAGGUGGCGGAAUUGGUAGACGCGCUAGCUUCAGGUGCUAGUGUCCUUACGGACGUGGGGGUUCAAGUCCCCCCCCUCGCACCA